rnacentral:rRNA from 1 species
CUACGGGGGGCUGCAGUCGAGAAUCUUCCACAAUGGGCGAAAGCCUGAUGGAGCGACGCCGCGUGACCGAAGAAGCCCUUCGGGGUGUAAAGGUCUUUUCUGUGGAAUCAAUUCCCGCUUUAUGCGGAUGAGCGUACCAUAGGAAUAAGGGGCUCCUAAACUCGUGCCAGCAGGAGCGGUAAUACGAGUGCCCCAAGCGUUAUCCGGAAUCAUUGGGCGUAAAGCGUCUGUAGGGUGUUCGAUGCGUCUUUUGUUAAAUCCUCCGACUUAAUUGGAGAAUCGCAGGGGAAACGGUCGAACUAGAGGAUGUGAGAGGCUGAUGGAACUCAGGGAGUAGGGGUGAAAUCCGUUGAUACCCUGGGGAACACCAAAGGCGAAGGCAUUCAGCUGGCAUAUUCCUGACCCUGAGAGACGAAAGCUAGGGGAGUGAAUGGGAUUAGAUACCCUUGUAGUC